GGACGCGGACGUUCUGGGGGCGGGGCGAAGAAGUUCCGGGAGGUGAGGGAGCGCGGACGCCCUGGGGAAGAGGUCGGAGGUCUGCGGAACUAAAGCCGGUGGAGAGAAGGGGUUUUAUGGAGAAAUGACCCAUGAAAAACAAUUCCCUGCUUCUACUAGAACAAACUUGCUGGACGUGGAUGGCCCCGUCUUGAUGGCCGAGAGCUGGAAGUUGAGCCCUGUGGUCAUGAAGGAAGUUGCUGUAGUCCGUGUAUCCUUUCUGUUCAGAUGAUGCUGAUAUACGUACCCCAACAUUUGACGUUUUCUUGGAUGGAUAUACAGUACAGAUGGACGCCCACCAGUCCUUUAGUUUAGGUGUAAUCUGGUCCCAUGACUGAGGGCAUGCUGGGAACCCAUUAUAGGCACAGAUGACAGAAGUUUGUCCACGUUUUGGAAAUGGCUGGACACAUUCGGCAUUGUCCUGAGGCAGAAACAUGGGCAUGGGAACCACUGGGAAUGACAUCCAGCUGACUGCGGUUGGGGGCCCACAUGGACGCCAUCGCUGCUAACAGGCACUGCCUCUUCCUGACAGCUCUGCUCUGCCCGGCCACCAGUCACUUACUUCCCAUUCCCAAAGCUUUGAUUCCCGUGAUGUCCCAGCCCCUACUUCCAAAUUUGUCUCCUUUAGGCCUCUAGGCUCCCAUUCUUGAUCCUGGUUUGACUCUCUUUUUUGUGGUUGUUGUUUUCUGGCCCCAGUGUCUUGAUUGCCUCACCUGUCCCAGACGUUCAGACACCAUGACCACCUUUCUAGGUCUGUUUGGGCUGCCCUGCCUGGCAUUGGCCUAUGACACAACUCUGUGGAAAUUCCUAGGUAUCUGAGGGGGAGCUCUGAAGAAGUUAACAUGGCUUUGAAACUCCCUUCUGAUAAAAAUGACAACUGAGGUAUUCGCAAGCAAGCCAGCCAUCUAUGGCCUUGGUUUUUAGAUUCAUCCAAGAGGUUGCGUGUAUCAACAGUCUGUACCUUUUUAAUUGCUGAGCAGGAUUCCAAGAUAUAGGUGUAUUACUGUGUUAACCAUUCAACUGUUGAAAGAUGUCUGGGCUAUUUUCAUUUUUGGACCAUCACUAUAAACAUCCCUGUACAGGUUUUCGUGUGAAAAUAAAUAUCCAUUAUCCUUGAGAUAAAUGCCCAAGAGCACAACUGCUGAGUCAUCACGUAAUUGCACGUUUAGAUUUGUAAGAAACUGACAAAAUGUUUUCCAGAGUAGCUGCACCAUUUCACUUUCCCAUCCACAAUGUAUGAGUGGUCUCGUUUCUCAUCAUCCUCCCCAGCAUUUGGCAUUGUCACUAUUUUUUGGUGGUAUAGUGCUAUCACGUUUUAGUUUGCAUUUCCCUGAUGGCUAAUGAUGUUGAACAUCUUUUCAUGUGUUUAUUGACCACCUGUAUAUCCUCUUUGCAGAAAUGUCUCUUUGGGUCUUUUGCCCAUAUUUAACCACUUCUAAAAAGUUAACUCUCUAGAAAGUCUAGAGAUACAAAUCACAAAGCCCUCGGAAGCACCAUUUGACGUUUGUUAGCAGCUUGUGGGGGGUUAAGGAGGUGGUCAGGAAGAUAUAUAUUGUGCCCUGCCCUCCAACUUCUUCCUCCAUAAGACAAUUAAAGAUACACUAAACUGAUGGGGUCCAGGUUUCAAGAUACCAGUUGGACCACAUUUUCUAGUGUUCAGGGUCACCAUAUGUGGUGAAAGUCCCGUGUCCUACAUGGAUGUGGCUUUCUUUCUGGUGGCAGAAGGAAUAGCCUGAGCCAGGGUUGUCUCUCUGGGGUGGGCUUGCCCAUCUUGAUUUCUCUGUCUUCCUCUCUGCAUGUGUGCAUGUGGCAGCCUUGUAGAUCUUCAGCCAGCUGGGGAAGGAGUUACACUUAAGGCAGAGAAGAAGCCUCACUUAGAGGCAGGGGCACCAAUCUUCUUGACCAGACACGGGGCCCUGGGGUAAACACUACAUUCUCAGGUAAUAAUGAAGUGUAGUUAGAAGACCCUCAUUUGGUACUAUCAGGAUCUUGCCUGGGCCACUUCUUUUUUCGUGGAGCUGUUGAUUCUUCGAAGUCAAACUCAGCAUGGCGAAGCCAAAGCCAAAGCCAGUGAAUGAUAAAAGAAAUAUCUACUGAAGAGACUUGGCUUCUAAUGGGGGAUGAGGUUGACAAACCCUAUUCCUCUGUGUUCUCAGGCUGGGUGAGUCCUAACUCUUCUAUUGUCUUCCCAGAGUGAGGAUGUUAUGAUACCUUGCUAAGAUCACCAGUAACCUCCUUCCAAACCCUAAGGCCUUCCUCAGCUCUCACUGCGCUCCCUCUGUCACUACCUGACAUUCACUAAGUACUUGCUCUGUCAUAUUCUGCUUUCCCCACAUUUUAUUUUCUCCCUCUGCCCUACCAUUUCUCCCUCCUCAGAAUGUCUAACAUUAGCUAUCACCUCAAGUCCUUGUUCGGUCUCCUCUUCUCCCCACAGCCUCAUUCUCUUCUAGGGCUCAUACUUUCUCAGGAUUUUAGCCACCUCUUCUUUUAGAUGUCACCCAAGGGGACUUCCCUCCUGGGCUUCCGGCUUCUUUCAGGUCUGCUGCAGCUCUUUGUCUUGCCAUCAGUAUGCCGCCAUUGCUCUUUCUUCCUGGUUUCCUGUUCCUAAUACUGGCAAAUCCAAGCUAACUACGGAUUUAUAAAUGAUAAAGAAGUAGUAGUAGCUGAUGUAAUAGUUGUGAUCAUGAUUCUGUGUUUAACCCAGUCAUCGAAUGCCGUAGCUAAAACCCAAGUAGUUUUCAUCCUAAACUUUUCUUCUCCUUGGGCUAGGGAACCUAUAUGAUUUUACCCUUUGUCUAUAUAAUAAAACCCAGAUGAAUGUUGAGUUCAAAACAAGAGGGCAUGUGGGAGUUUUCCAUUUGGACAAGAAUUGCCUUUGGUGUAGUUCCAAGCAUUGUCUCCAGCUUUUUCUAAGAAUAAAGGCUAAGGGAGGAGGGGGUUGUCUAGUGGGUGGGAAGGGAGGGAUGCUGGGGUAUCAGCUGAACUAGUGCUGAACUUGGCAUAUUUUUACACUCAAAUAAUGCAGGAAGAAGGCCUGGAUGGUAGGGAAGGGGACUGGGGAAGAAGUUUCCAUGGUACAAGAGAGCUAUGCUAGCCACACAGGGCUCCAUUGAGUGAGGAGUAUUAACUGUCUUUAACAGAGUAAUCUAGGGGUUGGUUUCUGUGACAUCUCUUAUGUCUCUCUGGUUGUGCAGCUAAAUAGGUUUUCUUUUUCUUGCCUUCUUUCCCCAAAUCCAUCAGCUUUUGCUUACCUUUACCUCAGUGAGCCCCAGGGGUCUGGUAAAGGCAGAAUGUCUAUUCCAGGGGAGAAGGGAGGCAACAAGGGACCAUAUCUAAUCACAUUCUUAUGUAGGAAAAGUAAAGCACAGGGUAGGUGGUGACUCUCCUGCACGACUUAGUGACUUCACAGACAGAGCCAAAUCUAAACACACACAAAUUGCUCCUGAAAUUGUAGCCUCUGAAACAAUGAUUUCUGGCCAUUAGACUUCAUGACUUUUCAUCCUUACUAGUUGGUUCUAACUCUAUGGUGAGAUGAGGAGGUGACAAACAUUAAGUUUUCUUUCUAGGCCUCAACCUCCAUAAUAUAUUUGUAGAAAACAUAAGCAAAAAUUCAAAACCAAAAAAACCCAGCUUUGAGCAAUUGAUUUUCCGGCUUACUAUAUUUACUUUUUGUUAUUUUAAUUUUAUUUUUAGAAUGUAUUGCUUCCUUCAUCAGGAAAAUUUGAGGUGGCAUGCAAAAAUACAUGGGCCACAGAUAUUUUAAAAAUAUGAAGAAAUCCGGUCAAAGUGAGAAAAUAUAGGUAGGAAAAAUAAGGUAAGUGAAGGGUAAAGUUAGUGUAUAGAAAUAUGUACCAUAAGCAUGAGCUAAAGGUCCAAAGUGGCCUUGAGCUUGUAGCAACCAGCACAAAAAGGAAAAUAUUAUAUAAUGCUAAAUGAUAAUAAUAGUGGCUAUCAUUUAUUGAGUGUUACUAUGUGGUGUCAAAGAUAAACAAAGCUGGACAAUAUUUAAAGUGGUUGGGACAGACUUUAAUCAGUAAUAUGUGCGCUAGGGCAAUAGGGAAAAGAGUCCAUCCACAUGAAUGGAACUCACCUUUGACUUGUACAGAGGUGACUAGACAUUUUAAAGGGAGAAUGAGGGCAUAGGGAGGAGGAUUAGAGGGGUCUCAGUAGAGUCAGGUAAGUGAAAAAUCACGAAAAGCAGGCAGGAGUUUGGCCCAUGUGAAACCCAUCUGGGUUUGCUAACUGGGGUGUACCCAAGUUAGGCUCCUCCCCUCCCACAGAGGCUGGGAGACAGGGCCCUAUCUUCAGGUGUUGCCUGAAACAAACAGUAAAUUCUUUUGGCAGCUUUGAGUUUUCUUUAAAAGGGGGGCUAGGGUCAUCCAGGAGAUGUAGACUUGAGUUGUUAGAAACUAUGUUAAUAUUUUGUUCACGUCUUUGUAGGCCAAGGUUGAAGCCCAGUGGAUUAGAGGGCUCAGGGGAACCUGGCUACAGGUUGGUCAAGGAGAGAAUCUUUGUCAGGAGCAGGCAUUGUUCUACAUUUUUUUACAUGUAUUAUUCCACUUACUGUUCACAAAAUCCCUGCGAGGGGGAUGAUGUUGUCCCCACUUUACAGAUGAGAAAACUGAGGUGCAGAGAUAUUAACAAGUUUAUAUGGACAGUAAGGGCCAAGAAUUAAAUCCAGGCAUCCUGACAGCACAGCUGAAACUAAUAUUUUAAUAAUUAAUUAUUGGCAUUAUAAGGAUAGGGCUGCCUCUGUGGAUUUGGGGUCUCACCUAAAAGGUGAGAUUAUUUACUGCAUCAGUCACCAAAGAAUAGAAUCAUGUCUCUCAGAGGAAACAGAAGAGGGGCAGAGAAACUUCAGGAACAUUGUCCAGGGGAUUCAACUCUCUUGGCCUUAUUCAAAAAGUUGGCAAGCUCUUGCUUAGGGAGCUUGUGUGGGGGUGGGGUGGCCCAUAAGAAGAAGAGGUCCUCUGCAUGGAGCCAGGCCAGGAACCAAGAAAUGGGGGCUACAGGUAUGGUGUCUGGAGGCCAUGCCAAUCUACUAGGACUAGAGCUGAACUAGCUCAGAUCAUGUGCAGAAGGCAGUGGCAAGGGGCAGAACAUGAGGGCUCAGGUCUUUGUAUUUUAUUGUCUGAUGGUUUGGAAAGCAAAUCUGGGAACUAUCCCUCACCAGUAGGAGAAUCAAGUGGGAGGGAAAAAAAGCCCACUUGGGAGCCUAGGCUCUAAGCAGAGCUGAUUUUCCAGAGGCAUAUAUGUUUUCUUGAAGUCAUCCAACAUCAUUUUGUGAUUCUAGCCUCUUGGUUCACAGUCUAUAAGGGAACAGCUACUCCCAGAAAACAAACAGAUAAUGAAAAACUUCCCCAGUGUUUUUCUUCCUUCUCUCUGUUGAUAUUUAUGUAUUUCCAGGCAGAGGGCAAGACACAGCAGAUUUUCUGUAUUCCUAGUACAGCUUCUAAAAUUCCUCCCUCCUCCCCCCCAAAAAGAGUGCCUGGCUGGCUCAAUUGAUUAAGUGUCUGACUCCUGAUUUUGGCUCAGGUCAUGGUCGUGAGACUGAGCCCUGCAUUGGGCUCCCUGUUGGUUGUGGAGCCUGCUUAAGAUUCUCCCCCCCCUUCUCUCUCUAACAAUAAUAAAAUAAAAUAAAAUAAAAUUCCUCCCCUAAUGCCCAAGGCCCUUCCUCUUCAAAAGAAUAUAGAUGAGAGUUUACAUAAUAAGAUGAGAAUAUAAUUCAAAUAGAGUUGGGGGGUUUUCAGUGUACAUAUAAAUAUUGUUAACUAUUAUUACUUUGUAGUCUACAUUUUUCCUAAGCAUUGUGUCAUGUGUCUUUUAGAAGGAGCCUCCUAAACUUUUGCCCCUCUUUGUGCAGGAGACCAGACCAGCUCCCAUUGACCAGAAGCCACGCAGGCUGCAGUCUGGUCUGACAAUUCAACACUUGAGUUAGAUUAAUGCUCCCUUUCCAACAUCUGAGGAGGGGGUACAGAGGGGAUCUGAGAAGCAGCUCUGUCCCAGGUAGCCCUGUGAUGUUUACCAAAGAUUCUGGGGCUCCCCUUCCCCUGCAUAUGUCUCCCCUGUGCCCAUUUGCAAGCCUCACAUUUCUGCCAUCCCUGUGUAUGUGGGUGGGAGGUAGGAAGGGAGGUUCUUUUCCUAAAGGUGCUGCAUCAAUGUAUGUGCUUCCUUGGCUUGAUAUAUAUCAAGUGAGGGGUUGGUAUGUGGGUCUGCCCUACUCAAGAAGUUAUUAGAAGAGGACUCUGAGUUUAUUUGAAUGAAUAUGCCCCAAACCCACUCUGCACCAGACAAAAGAACCUCUCCAAAGGAUGGAGAAUGACUCAAGGCAAGGAAAUAGCCGGAAGUCUACUCUCAGAGCUCUGUUAGUCAAAGAAUUUUAGGGGGACCCAGGCCACCUGGAAUUCUUUUCUAGUCUGCCCAAGUCUGGCAUAGGGAGGAUGAAGAAUUCCACUCUCAGUCCCAUGGGUGAUCCCUCCCUUUUUGUGGCAUUGAAGGGAAGAAGUCAGGUCAGGUGUGAGAGGAGAGUAAGCAAAAGAAGGGGCCAGAAAGAAGAAAGCUAGGUUGAAAGAUGAGCAGGGCAGGGCACAGAGGAAGGAUGGCUCCUCUGUUGGCUUUAGAAGAGUGUGUCUAAACAGGUCUCUGUAGCCCUUGACUGGAUGCCUGGGUCCAGGGACCCAUGGGUGGUGCAUUGGGGCCUCCUGGUAGUAGGGUAUCAUGCACACAUGUGUCUGUGUGUCUGUGUGUGUCUGUGUGUCUGUAUGUGGCCAGCAAGUGUGAACUUGACAGCAGUACAUCCAGUUAACUAUGGGAUUGUUUGCAAUAGCCUCUCAUUCAGCUUCAGCUACCAAGGACCAAGGCAGUCCAAACCUCUUUACAAGUUAAGGAGAAAAGAAGACCCAGAAUCACAAAUCCCCAACUGCAGAUACACAUUGGCACAGGGGAAGAAUCUCAAAUUCUGGACUCAUAUUCCCUAAGGGCAAAUUUCCCACAUAUCUGAAAAGGGUCUUCUAUGUUGCCUUUGAUGAACUGGAUUAGCAAAGCAGAUCAACUCAAUUUAGAAAGGAUUUCAGUUUAAGAUAAUAAGCACCUCCCACAUCCUUUCCUUAGAACUCAAGCUCUCUUCAAACAGCUAAAUCCUCUGCAAGCUAAAGAUUACCAGUCAGUUUAAUGGGAGUUUUAGAAAAGAGCUUUGGAAAGGAAUGGGUGGGAGGGGCUUUCUAUGUCUUUCCUGGUAGAUGAGUCUUCGUAGGGCUGAAGAGCUUCCUAUUUUAUAUAAUUGGCAACUGAUCAUUUCUAAAGUAUUGGCUUAGGACUCAAUCCAUUAAUGAAUCUCCUGUAUGGGACACACAAAUGUUCCCAGAAGAAGAGGCUGAGAUGGAGUGGGGGUGAUGAAGGAAUCAAAGGGAGGUCCCUUGACUCACCGGCUACAGUUGCCUUUCUCUGAUGUGUUCUUGCUGGCCGAGAUAAGCUUGCACUCAAGGAGCCUAGGCCAGAGGGGAGGUGCCCAAAAAGGGCAAGUGUAGAAACUUGUGGGCUAAAAAGUGUGGAGGGGGUGGGGGAGGAUUAAAAAAAAAAUUGUGGAGGGGGUGGGGGAAGAGGAAAAGGGAGGGAAUGGAGAGAAUGGGGUUGCAGAAGGAGAUUGAUCAAAUGGCUGAUUGUUGAGAACAUCCAUCUCUCCUCCCAGAGUCCUAGACAUAAAAUCUCUCUUUCUCUCUCUUCUCAGAGGAGUCCCACAUUGAGCCAAACUUUUACUGGGAAGAAAGGGCUGAUGGAUUCCUUUCAAGUAGUGUUUCUGUCCUCCCAGAUGACACCUUGGAAAAUUAGAACAUGUUCAAACAUACAGAGAAGACUAGAGAUUAAUAUCAUGAGGCUCACGGAAUUACCACCCCCUUUGCCAAAUAUGCUUGGGGAAAGUUUUCCCUAACGCCUUUCGGAUGCAGUUGCAUUUGACAGCUCCUCCCUCUUUCUCCAGGUACCCCCCCCACCCCCCCGCUUCCUGUGCCCACCUUCUCUCCCACCCUCCAGUAAAGAGCCUGAAAUGAGUAUGGUUGUAUUCAGUUUUAUAUUUAUAAGCCCUAAGGAAUUAUACUAAGGAAGCAAGAAGAAGCCAUUUGGUUGGUUGUCAGUGAGCUUUGUUUGAAGGCACCUUGCCCCAGGGAUUCAUUUGUAGAAUUUCUAGCACAAGGUAUUGGGGGAAAGAAAGUGUUGCAUCCAGAAAAUCUAACCCAGAAGUUUUCUGUUUCUUCCCAUCCCUCACCCCCCAACACUUUAACACUGAAUUUUCUCCCUAGCUUCUCAGCUUAUCUGCUUUGGGUUUUCCCCUUUCUGGCCCUUAUCCCAACCUUUGAUUGCUAGGCUGCAUUCAGGCUCCACGAGUAAGUAGUGGCAUCUCUAUGAUGCUCCCUGCAUGGGGAAGUGUGUGUCAGGAUAUCAGGAGGCAGUUAGUUGAUGCCUGGAGGGCCCACCCACUUACCUCCUCAUUUCCCCUGUAAAGUCUCUUCCACUCCUGGGGCCCGGGGGGCGGGGGGUCUCUGGCUGCUGCCGAGAAGUCUUUGGUUGAGUCAGAGGCAACACUCUGCUCACACUGAUGCCAAUAAACCCCCAGAAUUUUCCACUCCACGAUUAUUUGUCCCUCCCUGACUGUGAAUAAAGGAAAAGCCACACGCAGACAUAUGUUAUUAAAAUGAACUGUUUAUAUUAUCUCAGUUGAGUCAAUACAUUAUAAUGUAUUAAAAUGGAAAGGUACAAAAUUGAAAUAAAUACUUUCUGAUUCAUGUAUAAAUCUUUUUUUUUUUUGUCAAGAUGACUUUUAUCGUCAGUACAUGUCACAAGAAAACAUUUAAAAUGACACUGAAACAAUCAUUUAAAUCAUGGUGCAUGGAGGAAAAAGGUAAAGAAAACAACUUUUGGCUUGUUUUGGCAUGAGACCUUGAUACAAUUUGGGUUCCCCAAAACCAUGUGAAGGGUGGUAAAAUAGAAAUGCUCAAAACUGACUUAAAAAAAUAAACAGGCUUUACAAAAACUCUCUUUUUGAUAAACCCAGCCACUUCUCUACAUGGUCUGCACUUACAGUAGAUACAUUCAUUAUUGUCCACGGGAAGACAGCAACUGCCUUUCGUUUUAAAGAGCUUGGUGGAGAGGCUGACGAAAUACGCUGCAGCUGAAGGUGAGUAGAAUGUUCAGGAGAACACAAAGUCUAGAUGGUCUUCAGGAAUGGCACUGAGGAUGAUGGGGUGUGGAGGGUCUCUGGAACAAGAGGUGGAGGGGAGGGUGCGUGAGGAGUCCAGAUCUGAAGCAAAGCCAAGUCUGAAGGACAGCCACAGUUGUCAGCAGUGAAAGUGUGGUGUGGGUAAUCUCUCCCCGUCUGAGCAG